rnacentral:rRNA from 1 species
GUCUACGGCCAUACCACCCUGAACGCGCCCGAUCUCGUCUGAUAUCGGAAGCUGAGCAGGGUCAGGCCUGGUUAGUACUUGGAUGGAAGAAAUAGUUUAUAUAGAUA